GACGAACGCUGGCGGCGUGCUUAACACAUGCAAGUCGAACGGUAAGGCCCCUUCGGGGGUACACGAGUGGCGAACGGGUGAGUAACACGUGGGUAAUCUGCCCUGCACUUCGGGAUAAGCCUGGGAAACUGGGUCUAAUACCGGAUAUGAGCUCUCACCGCAUGGUGGGGGUUGGAAAGUUUUUCGGUGCAGGAUGAGCCCGCGGCCUAUCAGCUCGUUGGUGGGGUAAUGGCCUACCAAGGCGACGACGGGUGGCCGGCCUGAGAGGGUGAUCGGCCACACUGGGACUGAGACACGGCCCAGACUCCUACGGGAGGCAGCAGUGGGGAAUAUUGCACAAUGGGCGGUAGCCUGAUGCAGCGACGCCGCGUGGGGGAUGACGGUCUUCGGAUUGUAAACCCCUUUCAGUAGGGACGAAGCGCAAGUGACGGUACCUGCAGAAGAAGCACCGGCCAACUACGUGCCAGCCGCCGCAGUAACAC
rnacentral:rRNA from 1 species